AUGUUUAAAGAUGUAUGUGUCGAUGUUGUGCGGUCUGGCCGUACCGAAGCUGAUGAGGACAUGACUACCUUGGAUACGACCAAAAAUAUUGCAUACAUGCAUAUUUGUCAGGUGAUUUCUAGUGCAAACUAUUCAAUAAUCUAUUUAUGUUAUCCAGAACAAAAAUACUUCACAUACUUUUGUGUUUUGUCUAAUUGCAUGUGUAUGGGACAUUUGUACAAUCCACAUAUGAAGAUAAGGGAAAAGGAGAAGUUUAGGUUUUGUUCAAAAAGUGCUCUCACGUCACUUUUGGGCCAAGAGAAGAUAGAGUCCAAGUCUCUCAUGUUCUGGAUUCACAUUCGGACUGCACAGACAUACCUGACUCAAAACGUCAACAACUUUUUCAUACAGACUCCGAAUUGGGUGAUUCUUUUUUUUUGUUGA
rnacentral:rRNA from 1 species